GACGAACGCUGGCGGCGUGCCUAAUACAUGCAAGUAGAACGCUGAAGAGAGGAGCUUACUCUUCUUGGAUGAGUUGCGAACGGGUGAGUAACGCGUAGGUAACCUGCCUUGUAGCGGGGGAUAACUAUUGGAAACGAUAGCUAAUACCGCAUAACAAUGGAUGACACAUGUCAUUUAUUUGAAAGGGGCAAUUGCUCCACUACAAGAUGGACCUGCGUUGUAUUAGCUAGUAGGUGAGGUAAUGGCUCACCUAGGCGACGAUACAUAGCCGACCUGAGAGGGCGAUCGGCCACACUGGGACUGGGACACGGCCCAGACUCCUACGGGAGGCAGCAGUAGGGAAUCUUCGGCAAUGGGGGCAACCCUGACCGAGCAACGCCGCGUGAGUGAAGAAGGUUUUCGGAUCGUAAAGCUCUGUUGUAAGUCAAGAACGGGUGUGAGAGUGGAAAGUUCACACUGUGACGGUAGCUUACCAGAAAGGGACGGCUAACUACGUG
rnacentral:rRNA from 1 species